UACAGAGGGUGCGAGCGUUGUCCGGAAUCACUGGGCGUAAAGGGCGCGUAGGUGGCCCGACAAGUCAAUGGUGAAAGUUCGAACGGCUUAACGUCGAAUCGGCCACUGAUACUGUUGGGCUGGAGCACGUGUAGAGGCGUCAUUGGAAUUCCGGGUGUAGCGGUGGAAUGCGUAGAGAUCCGGAAGAACACCGGUGGCGAAGGCGGUCUGCUGGGCAGUUGCUGACACUGAGGCGCGAC
rnacentral:rRNA from 1 species